rnacentral:rRNA from 1 species
GAUCCUGGCUCAGGAUAAACGGUGGCGGCGUGCCUAAUACAUGCAAGUCGAGCGAGGUAUUCAGCAAUGGAUACCGAGCGGCGAACGGGUGAGUAACACGUUGGGAACCUACCCUCCUGAUCGGAAUACCCAAGGGAAACUUUGGUUAAUGCCGAAUACGUGGUUCCGGGAUAACCUGGAGUCAUAAAAGGCGGCCUUAAAGCCGCGCAGAGGGAUGGACCUGCGGCGCAUUAGCUAGUAGGUGAGAUAAUAGCCC